CGUACACACAGGCCGAACCGCCAAUAGAAACAACUCUCUUGGGUCAUGAAAAGUGUCACUCGUGUCAGCUCAUCGCGCCUCGCAUAAUCACGUGUCCAACGGUCAACGGAUCGCCGCCGCCGCAAUUCGAACGAAUUUUUUCGAAAAACAGAACGCGCUCGCUACACGGAAAUCUCGCCUCUGGCUUUACGCACAAUUAUAGCUUCACCAUGUCGUACCGCGCGAAGCUCUACGCUCAUGGGAAACUGAAAUCCUGUUACGUUGGUUUCGUUGUUGGGUUUAGGUAUAUGUAUAUAUGUGUGUGGGUGGAUAAGGCGCAUCGUGGAGCGCCGGGAUAUUGUUUGGAAAAAGUGCGGGUUACGGUUCACAAGCAUUGACUGACGACGCCUCGGCGCUUAAACUACAACUCCGGGUUUGAAAGAUGUCGACGCCCUGUCCGAAGAGGAUGAGACGUCGAACGGUUGGAUUGAACCAACGGUGCGCCUAAAACCUUACGACACAGAUUUUGCACACCGCAGCCGGGUUUGAGUGAUGAAAAAUCGAACCGAAGUUCAAUUAUAGCAUCAUUGGCAAGCAGCCCUGAAGCGUGGAUAUACCGAAGACCUAUCCCACUAAAUUUCGAAACUUCACGUGGGAUAGACGGAGUGUGACCAAGAAACCUGCUCGUGUUUGCCGAUGAGAAAUUCGCGGCUCGGGAAUGUUGCCUCCCGGAGGUCUAGACUCCGCGGUUCUGUUACGCGGAUAUGCCCUUGUUGGCCGUUCGUCGCGACCUACCGACUAGGAGGUACGUAUCUAAACACGCGCGAGAUCAUGUAAUAGUGAAAUUGAAUCGACGACGAAAAUUAUACGCUACCUGGUAUUACGUAAAUUCCACAACGCUGGAUCGAUGCGGACGGGUUUCGCGCCAUUAUGUAAAGUGGCUAAAAUUCGUUGACACAAUCCGUGGAAUUUGCCGCGCUGCGUGUCCCGCAGUUCCUGGAUCAUCCGCAUAAUUUGCAGGCUGCUGCACGGCGCAGGGCGUGAGGAGAAAGUUUCUUAGG